CAACCCAGACCGCCAGCUAAGGUCCCAAAGUCAUGGUUAAGUGGGAAACGAUGUGGGAAGGCCCAGACAGCCAGGAUGUUGGCUUAGAAGCAGCCAUCAUUUAAAGAAAGCGUAAUAGCUCACUGGUCGAGUCGGCCUGCGCGGAAGAUGUAACGGGGCUAAACCAUGCACCGAAGCUGCGGCAGCGACACUAUGUGUUGUUGGGUAGGGGAGCGUUCUGUAAGCCUGUGAAGGUGUACUGUGAGGUAUGCUGGAGGUAUCAGAAGUGCGAAUGCUGACAUAAGUAACGAUAAAGCGGGUGAAAAGCCCGCUCGCCGGAAGACCAAGGGUUCCUGUCCAACGUUAAUCGGGGCAGGGUGAGUCGACCCCUAAGGCGAGGCCGAAAGGCGUAGUCGAUGGGAAACAGGUUAAUAUUCCUGUACUUGGUGUUACUGCGAAGGGGGGACGGAGAAGGCUAUGUUGGCCGGGCGACGGUUGUCCCGGUUUAAGCGUGUAGGCUGGUUUUCCAGGCAAAUCCGGAAAAUCAAGGCUGAGGCGUGAUGACGAGGCACUACGGUGCUGAAGCAACAAAUGCCCUGCUUCCAGGAAAAGCCUCUAAGCAUCAGGUAACAUCAAAUCGUACCCCAAACCGACACAGGUGGUCAGGUAGAGAAUACCAAGGCGCUUGAGAGAACUCGGGUGAAGGAACUAGGCAAAAUGGUGCCGUAACUUCGGGAGAAGGCACGCUGAUAUGUAGGUGAAGCGACUUGCUCGUGGAGCUGAAAUCAGUCGAAGAUACCAGCUGGCUGCAACUGUUUAUUAAAAACACAGCACUGUGCAAACACGAAAGUGGACGUAUACGGUGUGACGCCUGCCCGGUGCCGGAAGGUUAAUUGAUGGGGUUAGCGGUAACGCGAAGCUCUUGAUCGAAGCCCCGGUAAACGGCGGCCGUAACUAUAACGGUCCUAAGGUAGCGAAAUUCCUUGUCGGGUAAGUUCCGACCUGCACGAAUGGCGUAAUGAUGGCCAGGCUGUCUCCACCCGAGACUCAGUGAAAUUGAACUCGCUGUGAAGAUGCAGUGUACCCGCGGCAAGACGGAAAGACCCCGUGAACCUUUACUAUAGCUUGACACUGAACAUUGAGCCUUGAUGUGUAGGAUAGGUGGGAGGCUUAGAAGUGUGGACGCCAGUCUGCAUGGAGCCGACCUUGAAAUACCACCCUUUAAUGUUUGAUGUUCUAACGUUGGCCCCUGAUCGGGGUUGCGGACAGUGUCUGGUGGGUAGUUUGACUGGGGCGGUCUCCUCCUAAAGAGUAACGGAGGAGCACGAAGGUUGGCUAAUCCUGGUCGGACAUCAGGAGGUUAGUGCAAUGGCAUAAGCCAGCUUGACUGCGAGCGUGACGGCGCGAGCAGGUGCGAAAGCAGGUCAUAGUGAUCCGGUGGUUCUGAAUGGAAGGGCCAUCGCUCAACGGAUAAAAGGUACUCCGGGGAUAACAGGCUGAUACCGCCCAAGAGUUCAUAUCGACGGCGGUGUUUGGCAC
rnacentral:rRNA from 1 species